CGUCCGCAAGAAGGAUGGGAGGUGGAACAGCAGACUGCGUGUGCGGCUGUACGGGCUAUCUGACCUUAGGAGAGUCCCCGAAGAGGCGCUACUCUCGAGCGGCGGGUCGUGAGGAGCCAGGGAUCCUGAAGCCCUGCCAGGUCCUUGCACUUUGCAUGAGGAAAUUAAGGACCAGGAUCGAGGUUGUGCAGGCGCCUCCUUGAUUACCAGGCCCCUUUCGACCCACAGAGCCUUCUCAUUGGCUGUUCCAUGGGCCUGGAAAACUCUCCUUACCCAUAACUCAACUGGUUCCCCCGGGGGGGGGGGGGCGCUCUCCCUCAGAGGCUUAACUGACUUCACCUGAGGAUCCUUCUAGCUCUUAUAACUAGUCUCAGGCCUCAUAGGAAUGUUUAGAGCAUUAAAUGAGGUCGGUUAGGCUGCAGGUCAGUGCCCUGCAUACUGUGAGAAUUCAGUAAAUGUCAAUAGUUAUUAUUAUGCCUAGUUUGCUCAUAAGUUCAUGUCUGUCUCUUCCUGUGUUGGAUUCCCAAGACCAAGCACCAGUACCUGGCAGGUAGGAGGAACCCAACAAUGAUCAAUAAAGGAUCUACCAGUAGACCAGCCAGAGCUUACUGGUGUCUUGGCACCUGAAGUAGGGAGGUGCUAUCCAUGUGAAGCAAGAGUUUCUCCAUGUCAGGCCAGCACAUGGCUGGGGAUGCCCCCAAGCCAGCCUCCUGGUCUUCAAAUCCCAGAAUGGAGAGAGCAGAGGGCUCAGCAGGAGAGAGCUGUCACUUUGGGCCUUGGGACGUGCCUGUCCUCACCCUCACAAGCAUAUUGUGUCAUGAGCGAGACUUGGCCCAGCCUGCCCACCCUUCCCUGACUUCUGAGUGCUUCUACCUCCUGCAGUGUGGCUCUUGCCAGCUUGCUUGGAGAUAUAUGUUUAGGGCUCUUCUUACCCACCAGACUGGGCCAACACAGAGUCCUAUUUCUCUUUGUAUUCCUAACUUUGUCAGGCCCCAUGCUGUGGAUAAGGGAUGCCACACUGACAAACAGGGACACUGGGGAAGAGCCCUAUGAGCAGGAUGAGCAAGAACCUGCCGUGGGGGGGGGGGGCAGUUUAGCCAAGGGAACUGUAAAGUCAGGGCACAGAGGUGGCUAGUUCUAGUGGCAGAAAGGCCAGGGAGACUGGAGCUAGAGGGCCAAAAGGUGCUGAGUUAAGAGAUGAGCAGGGCCAGGCUGUGGAGGUCUUCAGGCCAUGGGAAGAGGGCUGUGGCUUACCCUAAGCACAGGGGCAGAGGCCAUCAUUGGAGGUGGGGUUAAUUCAGGCCUGUGAAAGCUCUACUGAAGAGAGGCAGGGAGCCUAGAAGAAGCCUGAUGCAAGCAUCCAGGCAAGAGGUGGAGACUGAAACCAGGCUGUAGCAGGGAACAUGAAGGAGGCAGGGCAUACUUCAGAGACAAACAGCUGUAGCACUGAUGACAGCAGGUAUGUAUAUGGGUACCAAGGACAGGUGAAGGAAUAGAGGAAUGGAAGAAGACCUCUAGGAUUUUGGGGAAAAAAAAAUUUUUUUGGUACUGGGGAUCGAACUCAGGUCCUUGCAUUUGUGCAGCAGGCAGCGAAACCACUGAGCUAAAUCCCCGGCCCGGAUUUUGGAAAAUGGAGGAUCCACAAUUGAAAUGGGGAGGCGAAAGAGGACCAGACGCUGACUGAUGCCUUUCUGAGUCUGGUCCUCUGGUGGACACCAGAGCAAGAGAUGAACCAGGUACUGCUGAUCUGAGAAGCCAACCUAGAAGUGCACAGGGAGGGGAGUCUCUGCCUUGCUAAAAGGUCCUGGAGACUGGCCCAUGAGCUGCCAUGAGGAUUGAGUUCUGUGUCUAGGGCUUGGGGAGGGUUGGGGCUCUGCUGUCUUGGAAAGCAGAGAGGCAUGUUGAGAUGGGGGUGCUGCCUUGAGAUACUCAGCUUUUCACUCUCUGUGUGGGCUCUGGGCAGGGUGAGUUCCUCUUGCCAGGCAAUACAGAGACCCCCAAUCUCUUAGGAGAGGUUUGGCCUCCAUGCUGUGAAAUUACCAGGAAUGAAUUUCUGGAUGGGAUGGGGUGCAGAGAAGGAAGCUGAGCCAAGCAUGCUAGCCAAGGACCUGGGCUUCAAGGGUCCUUGGUCCUGAGUGGGAGUCCUGGAGCCAGGAUGGGUCUGGAGCAAAAGGGGAGGCAGUGGGUGUGGGGUACAUUGGAGUCUGACUGCACUUGUCAGACCUCAGGUUAUUUUUUUUUUGGGUACUGGAGAUCGAACUCAGGACUUUUCACUUUUGAGGCAGGCAGUGGCACCACUGAGGUAAAUCCCUGGCCCAGGGCCCAGGUUCUUGCCAAGCUGUUCAGGGUUCUGUGUCCUAGGCUGGAUGUCCAAAGUUCUGGAUGUUGAUCUGGAGUUGAUGGUCCAAGUCCAGGUCAGGGACCUAUCCGAAACACCAGGUCAGGGUUAUGGUAGUGAUCUGGGUCUGAGAUUGGAAUCAAGGUUGGGUUAGAUCAAGGUCUUGGCCUGCUGGAGGUCUGGGGUCAAUGUUGAAGUCUGGGUGUGGAGCCAGAGUUGUGAUCUGUGGUCAUGGUCAUAGUCUGCAGUGGUGCUCCAAGGUCUCAGUCCAAGGUCCUAUUUGGCGUCUAAAGACAGGAUUUUCAACUAAGGACUGGUGUCAGGUCAUGGGUGGACAGUGGUGUCCAAGGUCAGGGAGUCAGGGGUUAGAGUCAGAGUCUGAAAGCUAAGUUCCAGGAUCAUAUUCUGAAAUUUGAGUCCAGGGUCUAGGGUCCUUGUGAUCCAUGACUGGCGUUGGAGAGGGGGGUCUGAUUUUGGAGCCUGGGAUCCACAGAUGUGACUCGAAGUUGUGGCUACAAUCUGAGUCUGAGGGCGUCUUCGGCCAGGGCUCCUGUCGUGUUCCAGGUGCAAGGUGGACAGUCGAGGUCACUGUCAGGGUCUGAGAUUAGGGUCCCACAUCUAGGUCAAGUCUCCGGUUUUAGUGGCGCCCUACGAG
ensembl:lncRNA